UCAGGAUGAACGCUAGCUACAGGCUAACACAUGCAAGUCGAGGGGCAGCAUUGGAGUAGCAAUACUCAGAUGGCGACCGGCGCACGGGUGAGUAACACGUAUCCAACCUGCCGCUUACUCGGGGAUAGCCUUCCGAAAGAAAGAUUAAUACCCGAUGGUAUAAAGAGUUCGCAUGUUCUCUUUAUUAAAGAAUUUCGGUAAGCGAUGGGGAUGCGUUCCAUUAGAUAGUUGGCGGGGUAACGGCCCACCAAGUCUACGAUGGAUAGGGGUUCUGAGAGGAAGGUCCCCCACAUUGGAACUGAGACACGGUCCAAACUCCUACGGGAGGCAGCAGUGAGGAAUAUUGGUCAAUGGGCGAGAGCCUGAACCAGCCAAAGUAGCGUGAAGGAUGACUGCCCUAUGGGUUGUAAACUUCUUUUAUAAGGGAAUAAAGUGAGGGACGUGUCCCUUUUUGUAUGUACCUUAUGAAUAAGGAUCGGCUAACUCCGUGCCAGCCGCAGC
rnacentral:rRNA from 1 species